UUACAGCCAUAUCUGGUUGAAACACCAGUUUUCUUAUGAGCACCAAAGUUAAACAACAUUGAGCCUAGUCAGUACCUAGAUGGGUGACUACUUGGGAAUACCAGGUGCUGUAA